GCAUUUUGGAGUCAUAGAAGCAAGAGAUUCAACAAUGUCUUUCUUUGUGAUACUGGUACUGCUGUUCUGCUUUGAUGUACAAGGGUCCUAUCCUGUGUUUGGAGAUAUAAAUUAUUUUGAUGAAUAUCUGAAUUUCACGGACGAAUGGGAAGAGUGGGACGAGUGGAAUUCAUGGUUAUAUAAUGAUCCAUUGUCUCCAAUUAACCUGACAGUGGACUCUGUGUCCAACAGCUCAGACUCCUGCAACUCAGUGUGACCUGCAGCACAAAGUACUUUGACAUCAACAGCACUUUUACAUGUGACACCAAAACCUGCUAUCAGG